UCCUGAUAAACGUUAUUAGGUAAAUGGCACUAAUGAAGAUGAAACGUGAAACUGGUUAAAUACCAGUACUGCCCCCGCAACGGUAACUGUGAGCAGCAACAAAACCACUGUAUUGAAUCAUUAUUAGGUCAUCACAAUAAUGAACGUAUGGGAAGGUGUUGCAAGUGCGAUGAUCAGGAGUCCGGAGACCGGCCUAAAUUAUAGUUAUUUAU
rnacentral:ncRNA from 18 species